ACCGCCCGUCCAAGCCAUGGGAGCCGGGGGUGCUUGAAGUGCGUCGCCGCAAGGCGCGCCCUAGAGCAAAACCGGUGACUGGGGCGUAAGUCGUAACAAGGUACC
rnacentral:rRNA from 1 species